AUUAAGAACUACGAAGUGGAAAACUUGAAGUGGAAAAACAGUAACAAUAACCCAAAAAACCUAUGGAGUGGAAUAUAAAAGGGAUUAACUGAGAGCCUCAAGGGGUACAGACAUCACAAGAAAAGAGAACUGCAUCCAAGAAGGCUGUUUAGGCUAGAAGGUAACCUGGUUACAUUUGUAAAAUCUAAUCCUGCUUAAAUGAAACAGACAAAAGAAGAUGUGGUCUACAUACACAGCGGAAUAUUACUCAGCCAUUAGGAACGACAUUCGCUUCAACGUGGAUGGAACUGGAGGGGAUUAUGCUGACUGAGUAAGUCUAUCAGAGAAGGACAAACAUUAUAUGGUCUCACUCAUACGGGGAAUAUGAAAAGUAGUGAAAGGGAAUAAAGGGGAAAAGAGAAAAAAAUAAGUGGGAAAUAUCACUGAGGAAGACAGACCAUGAGAGACUCCUAACUCUGGGAAACAAACAAGGGGUAGUGGAAGGGGAGGUGGGCAGGGGUGGGGGUGACUGGGUGAUGGGCGCUGAGGGGGGCACUUGAUGGGAUGAGCACUGGGUGUUAUGCUAUAUGUUGGCAAAUCGAACUCCAAUAAAAAAAUAUACCAAAAAAAAAAGAAAAAAAAAAGAAAAAAACACAUUUUCAGGAAUAAACUCUUUAACCAUCUUCUUUUCUCCCCAGUGCCAAUCAAGGAAAACGCUGAUUUUAGUUUCAGGACAUUGCAUAUGCAGCUCUUCCAGGCCCCAAAAUCUUAAAUUCCAAAGAAAAACUUGGAGAUGUAGUGAAAAGAACAGAGGACUCCAAAUGAAGAUAAACAGGUAA
rnacentral:lncRNA from 12 species